rnacentral:rRNA from 1 species
UACGUAGGGUGCGAGCGUUAAUCGGAAUUACUGGGCGUAAAGCGUGCGCAGGCGGUUGGCAAAGUCAGCUGUGAAAGCCCCGGGCUCAACCUGGGAAUUGCGGUUGAAACUAGUCGACUAGAAUGCUGGCAGAGGGGGGUGGGAAUUCCACGGUGUAAGCAGGUGGAAAUGCGUAGGAGAAUGGUGGGAAGGAACACCGAUGGCGGAACGGGCAGCCCCCUGGGCUGA